UAGGGAAUCUUCCGCAAUGGACGAAAGUCUGACGGAGCAACGCCGCGUGAGUGAAGAAGGAUUUCGGUUCGUAAAACUCUGUUGUUAGGGAAGAAAAAAUGUAUAGUAACUAUAUACAAAAGAGACGGUACCUAACCAGAAAGCCACGGCUAACUACGUGCCAGCAGCCGCGGUAAUACGUAGGUGGCAAGCGCUGUCCGGAAUUAUUGGGCGUAAAGCGCGCGCAGGUGGUUUAGAAAGUCUGAUGUGAAAGCCCACGGCUCAACCGUGAAGGGUCAUUGGAAACUAAUAAACUUGAGUGCAGGAGAGAAAAGUGGAAUUCCUAGUGUAGCGGUGAAAUGCGUAGAGAUUAGGAGGAACACCGGUGGCGAAAGCGGCUUUUUGGCCUGCAACUGACACUGAGGCGCGAAAGCGUGGGGAGCAAACAGG
rnacentral:rRNA from 1 species